rnacentral:tRNA from 1 species
GGGCUCGUGGCGCAGUGGUAGCGCGUCUGACUCCAGGUCAGAAAGUUGCGUGUUCGAGUCACGUCGGGCUCA